CAGUCAGGGCUCCGGUACUGCAGUCAGCUAUGGGGAGGUGCUCACAACCAUAAGUGCUUCUGGAUCCAUAGUGGAAUGAGUCUGGAGGGCUCCACAGGAGUGUCCUGACAUGCAUAAGCUGUGGCCAUCUAGUCCUGGGGCUUCUCUCUGACCCAUGUGUUAUAGCAAACCUCAGCUAGAUGCCAGUGAGAAGACCCAGGACGCAAGGAGAGAGCACCAAGGAGUAGGACCAGCAACCGAAAUGAAACCAACACAGACCAAGAGGCAUGCAGCCUCCCUCAUCUCCUGCUUCCUCGGGCAUCCCAUCCUGCUCGCUGACCUGAUAUGUCUCCAGAGAGUAUCUGUGGUCUCGGAGGAGGCUUUAAACCACCCUGCAGAGCUCAGCACUCUCUUGGUCCCUCCAGGGGUGUGGGAGGAGAAGGACCAUGCUGCUCUGCUGUUUCAUCCUGACAGUGCGCAGAAAGGAAGGUGUGACACCUCCGUAAGGAGCCUUUUGUCCCAACUAAUAACACCACUAAAAGGAAGAGCUACUUGAGUCUGGAGACAAGGCAGGCUAAACUGCCUUUCCUGUGGGAAGUGAAGCUACCG